CAAACGGCAGGCCUCGGUGUCGCGCUCUGUGUUACAUCCGCCGCGGCUCCGGCCGCCGCCGCGGUGUAGCAAGUCAAGGACCUUGCUUGCCGCUUGCUCACCCCCACUCCUGCCCCAUCUCAGUUGGUUAGCGACUCUGGGCCACACGGCAGGCCUCGGCGUUGCUCUGGUGGCGGCCGCCAUUAUGAUUAUUUUUUAAAGCCACGUUUUCUACUUCUAAAAUUCAAAAUUACUGAUGGACUCUGAAGAUAUCUUACUGCCACUGCUCACAGACUUCACACCACAGGCAAGAGCCAAAAACUGACAGUCCUUUGUCUUGCACCAAAAGCUCAAACCUCUGGCAAGACCCAAGGCAAAUAUACAUGUGGAGAGGGCAGAAACAAACACUCUCUCAGAUGCUGACCAGCUUGUACAAGGGUGUAAAGCUGAAGGUGUUAGAAAAGAAGAAGCAAAGCUAUAUGUGUGAGACUAGUUAGUCAAUGCAUCUGACUAAGGAAACCCUCUGCAAAUGGACAAACUGAGACUGAGACUGUUUCACCAGCUUGGCCUGCUAGACUGAGGGUGAAGUCCAAAAGGCGUACAGUGUGGCAGAAAUAACAGAAGCUGUAAUUAAUGCUAUUUAUUUAAUUGAGUUCCUCAGAGAAAGAGCGGGAUAUAAAUGUAAAAAUAAAUAAAAUAAAUAAAUAUUUCCCCUGCA